rnacentral:rRNA from 1 species
UACAGAGGGUGCAAGCGUUGUUCGGAAUUAUUGGGCGUAAAGGGCGCGUAGGCGGUGCGGUAAGUCUGUAGUGAAAUCUCUGGGCUCAACUCAGAGUCUGCUGCAGAAACUGCCGUGCUUGAGUGUGGGAGAGGUGAGUGGAAUUCCCGGUGUAGCGGUGAAAUCCGUAGAUAUCGGGAGGAACACCUGUGGCGAAAGCGGCUCACUGGACCACAACUGACGCUGAGGCGCGAAAGCUAGGGGAGCAAACAGG